UGGCUCAGUGGUAGAGUGCUUGCCUCGCAUGCAUGAGGCCUUGGGUUCGAUUCCUCA
rnacentral:tRNA from 1 species